AGGCACAUUUCACUCUCUUGCUCUUUCCCCGCGUAAGAGCUAAGACAUGUCUGAUGUGCCAGAUAAACCUUGGAGGUAAAUUAGCAGAGUGGCUACACAGUGCCAUUAUUGCCAGUCGCCUUCAUACACUA